GGAGGUACAGCUCAAGUGGUAGAGUGCAUGCUUAGCAAGCAUGAGGUCCUGGUUAUAUCCCCAGUACCUCCC
rnacentral:tRNA from 1 species